rnacentral:rRNA from 1 species
CCUACGGGGGGCAGCAGUGGGGAAUAUUGGACAAUGGGGGCAACCCUGAUCCAGCCAUGCCGCGUGUGUGAAGAAGGCCCUCGGGUUGUAAAGCACUUUCAGUGAGGAAGAACGCCUGGUGGUUAAUACCCAUCAGGAAAGACAUCACUCACAGAAGAAGCACCGGCUAACUCCGUGCCAGCAGCCGCGGUAAUACGGAGGGUGCGAGCGUUAAUCGGAAUUACUGGGCGUAAAGCGCGCGUAGGUGGCUUGAUAAGCCGGUUGUGAAAGCCACGGGCUCAACCUGGGAACGGCAUCCGGAACUGUCAAGCUAGAGUGCAGGAGAGGAAGGUAGAAUUCCCGGUGUAGCGGUGAAAUGCGUAGAGAUCGGGAGGAAUACCAGUGGCGAAGGCGGCCUUCUGGACUGACACUGACACUGAGGUGCGAAAGCGUGGGUAGCAAACAGGAUUAGAUACCCUUGUAGUC